rnacentral:rRNA from 1 species
UACGUAGGGUGCGAGCGUUAAUCGGAAUUAUUGGGCGUAAAGAGCGCGCAGGCGGUGUAUCAAGUCAGAUGUGAAAGAGGCCGGCUUAACCGGCAAGGGUCAUUUGAAACUGAUAGACUAGAGUGCAGCAGAGGAUAGUGGAAUUCCCGGUGUAGUGGUGAAAUGCGUAGAUAUCGGGAGGAACACCAGUGGCGAAGGCGACUAUCUGGGCUGCAACUGACGCUGAGGCGCGAAGGCUAGGGUAGCAAACAGG